GCGGGCGGGGGGUGCGGACGCCCCCUUUCGCCGCGGAGGGACUAGAGCCAGGGCGCUGCGGUCAGGCGCGGGCCAGGGCAGAAAACCCUGAACGGAUUUUUAUGAUUCCCUCCUAUCAUUUGUCAUUCUACAAUCAGCCCCUGUGUGCGGCUGCACAGUUGGACGUUUCCAGGGCGUUGCCGUUAUAAAUGCCACUGUUUUACAAAGUGGGAUCAUGAGAUGAUCAUCUGUUAUGUGUGUCACAGUAGGAAAGGGGUAAGAAGAGAGCAGAUGAACCAGAUCCCCUCUUCAUUUUAUAGUUAAUCCUUCUGGCGGACCACAAGGCACUACACAUUAUGGAGUGCCUCCAGAAUGGAGAUUUCAGCUCACCUACGCUUCCUGAAGACGUAAACACACUGAAAACACAGCAUUGCAUCCCCAGGGCUAAUAAAAAUCAGUUCUAACUAAACUGAGAGCUCCAAUAUUAUGCCAACUCUUAGGUUGGUUAUUCCGCUAAAAGGAAAUAAAAUUUCAUUUGUUGGAUUCGUA